rnacentral:misc_RNA from 1 species
AAUCAGUAAAAAAAUCAAAUAACUGAACCUUUCUUAUCAAGAAUAAAAUGCAACAAACAUUGGAUAAAAGAGAAAAUCAUGCAAUUUUCAGAUAUUACUGUAGCCCACAAAUACAAAUCAGGAAAAAAAAUUGUUAGCUAUCAGCAAGGGCAAAUGGUUGAAAUUAAUGAUUAAAAAUAAGAAAUAAAAGAAACAAGGUAACAUGAACAAGGUAUCAAAAUGAUGACAGUAUUAUGCAUGGCCCCAUGGUAUCAGUGAAAUUUCAAAAAUUAGUCAAGUAACAGAGCAGAGAAGAUCAUGGUGAGAUCUCAAAGGAUAUUUAGCACCGUAAUCACACAAGUCUGAAAAUCUAAAUGAAAA